UUAAGGUGGUCUACCGUUAGACCGUGUGGGGAUAACGAUAAACAAUUUGGCUAUAUGCUGGAACAUCCGUGUAUCUCUGAAGUACCGAGUACAUAUAAUCUAUAUGUCUGGUGAAAAUCUUAGAGUGGCACGUCAAGUCGACGGACAACCAGCAGGCAACCCAUCACAUCUACCAAGUUGCGAUGGAGAGUCCUCAACGACUAUACGCCAAACCCGAUUUAGAUAAUCGGAGAAGAUAUAGUCUGAUCUUUGCGGCGACGCAAAG
rnacentral:ncRNA from 3 species